rnacentral:rRNA from 1 species
UACGUAGGGCGCAAGCGUUGUCCGGAAUUAUUGGGCGUAAAGAGCUCGUAGGCGGUCUGUCGCGUCGGCUGUGAAAACCUGGGGCUCAACUCCGGGCCUGCAGCCGAUACGGGCUGACUAGAAUUCGGUAGGGGAGACUGGAAUUCCUGGUGUAGCGGUGAAAUGCGCAGAUAUCAGGAGGAACACCGGUGGCGAAGGCGGGUCUCUGGGCCGAUAUUGACGCUGAGGAGCGAAAGCGUGGGGAGCAAACAGG